UGGGGAAUUUUGGACAAUGGGCGAAAGCCUGAUCCAGCAAUGCCGCGUGUGUGAAGAAGGCCUUCGGGUUGUAAAGCACUUUUGUCCGGAAAGAAAUCCUUGGCUCUAAUACAGUCGGGGGAUGACGGUACCGGAAGAAUAAGCACCGGCUAACUACGUGCCAGCAGCCGCGGUAAUACGUAGGGUGCAAGCGUUAAUCGGAAUUACUGGGCGUAAAGCGUGCGCAGGCGGUUUGCUAAGACCGAUGUGAAAUCCCCGGGGCUCAACCUGGGAACUGCAUUGGUGACUGGCAGGCUAGAGUAUGGCAGAGGGGGGUAGAAUUGCCACGUGUGAGCAGUGAAAUGCGUAGAGAUGGUGGAGGAAUACCGAUGGCGAAGGCAGCCCCCUGGGCCAAAUACUGACGCUCAUGCACGAAAGCGU
rnacentral:rRNA from 1 species